rnacentral:sRNA from 1 species
GAAUCACAAUUUUCUGCCUUUUCUUGCAUCUGUGAAUAACCUUCUCGAGGCCUUUCUUGGACUUCACUCAUUGCCUGUACACAUACCGAGGACACAGGCUUAUGUCUGGGUUAUAGCUAUGUCUGCUUCUAAAUAAAAAUCAAUUACAUUUAUAAUAAUCUAUUGCUACAUACAGUACAUCUCCUCAUAACUUAGUAACUUUUUUAAAAGUGAUUUUUGUUUGCUUCUUACAGUGUGAUGGAUCUUGGGUUAGAUAAAAUAUAAUAGAAUGUUUCUCAUGUCUAUGAUGGACCAAAACAUUCAAAGGAGCCUCUUCCCUCUUCGCUUCCAUGCCUGAUGCCUCAGAGAGGGUGGCUCACAGUGUCAAGCAGACAAGUGGGAUGAUUUGCCUGGACUCCUGAGUACAGCAUUCUCAGUUUGCAGUGGCGGCUGGAUUCGAUGGUUCUCCUUCACAGAGCCUCAGUAUCUCUCUAUCUCUAUGUGGCCUCUCUGUGUGGAUCAGCUCAGGCACUUUAUAUAGCAGCUCGGGGCUCAAAAAGGCAAAAGGCAAACACUGCUAAUUUAUCUUUAAGGCUUCAGCCACUUUUACCACACUCUGCUGAGCAAAGAAAGACAAAGACCAGCCUGGAUUCAAGGGAAUGUGGCUACACGGAGAAGUGAUCACUUAAAGGGGUGACCCCAUAGGGGCAUCAGAAUAACACAUGGGAUCUGCCCAGGUUGCAAGGAAGGAGAGUUCUGCUUGCAAUUCCUUGCCUCUUCCUCCAUCUACCUGCUCCAGGUUGAAGUACAUCACCACUUGGGAGCAGCCAUGACAGUGCCUCAUGCUGGCUCUGAGGCUUCUACCCUGAUAGAUGUCUGUAUGGUUGUCUGUCUUGAUGACUAACUCCCACAUGCUCCUUCAAAGACUCAAGGGGGCCAACUGUGUUUCAUCAAGUUCCUUCUCUCUUCCAUCCAUGGUACCUCUGCUGAAACUGUUUCCAGCUACCACAGCCAAACGUGUGCUGUUAACAGCACUCCUGGUUUCUGAUAGGCCAACUGUUUGCAACAACAAGAACAACAACAAGAACAACCACCAAAAUACAGGACAGAGACACCACACUAUCUGCAGCUAUAGACAAGGGCAUCUGAAUCUUACCUGCUUUGGAAUAAUUCCAGGACAAGAUGUAAGGAAUAUUGGGGAUUUACCUAGCAAAAGGUAUCUGGAGAGGACACAGGAUCCUCGGCUGAGAGUCUCACAAGACCACAGUUGAGGUGGCCGUAGGACGGAUCUGCCCUAUCAACUGGAGGGCUGACUAGGCUGUAGAAUCUUGAAGAAAAUUCAAUCCGUUACAGAGAAAUAAAGGAACUACAUUUUCUUCCCGCAAUUGGAUUGUGUGAGUAAAUCUGUAAUCUCUCUACACCUGCAAUGUAACAGCCACUGUAUACAUAUGUUUUCAUAGCAUUCUCCCCCGGUCCUGUGAGGUAAGUGUUAUUAUAUUCCCACUGCACAAAUGAAGCUGAAACUCAGAGACGCUAAGUGAUUUGUGCAAGGUCACACGGUUGCUCAGAGGAAAACUUUGUUUAGAGUCCAGGAGUGUCUGACUCUGACGUGUGGCCUCGUCACUGUCCCUGUGCAUUAGUGGCCUGACUCCUACUUAUGCGAUCACAGUGUCCUGAUACACACAGUUCAUUGAUGAGAGCUGCUUUCUUAGCCAGAGUAAGUAGGCAGACAUCACCUUUUAGAACUCAGCCUCCCUCCCACCUCUGCCUCAACCUCCUGCCAGCUCGCCAAAAUGUACAGGAGGGAAGACUGUGGAGUCCAGGGUUCCAGUCUAGAAUAUAUUGAUUCCCUUCCAUUAAAUAUGAAGCCAAAAUUAAAAGAAAAAAACACCAAUCCAAUAAUGAAAUUGUGAAAAUUAUGCAUAUAGCUGGAAAUGUCUAGGUUUGCCUUCCAGGUCCUCUGUAGAUUGAAACGAGUCACCUAUGAUCUAUUUUGUUUUCACACAGAGGAGAGCCAUGCAUGCCUGCCUUGGAACAGACUAGGUCACGAACUAGCUGUGCUUCCUUGAAUCCUUCAAGAUUUAAUGGGAGGACAGGAACUGAGAAAGUGCUCAAGGACCCCAGAGUCAGUGACGGCUUGGAUCACUAUCUCCUCUGGACAAAGCCAUUGCCUUCCUGACCAUGCAUUCUGGAAAGGAUCAGAGCAGCCACAGAUACAAACGCCGUAGAGAAAGCGUCUGGUGAGAUAUCGCGGUGAGUAGAGAGAGGCACCUAGAUUCAGACAUGAUGAUCUAAGUUCAGUAAUGAGCUCCCGGGGCAGAAGAGAAUUGACUCUCAAGUGAGUUGUCCUCUGACUUCCAAGGGCACGCGUGUACUGCCACCAUCCAAAGAAAAUUAAUUACACAAAAUAAAAUAAAGCUGAGAAACCGAGAGGCUCCCUCUCUAGUAGGCCUUUAGUGUUUCAAGCAAGCUUCCAUGGAUCAUUUAACAGGCAAGUGUGUGGUGCCCAGGUGUGCAAGACUUUGCAUUAAAUAAAAGAUAAAGAGAUCUUGGCUCCAGGUAUCUCCUGUCUCUGACGCCUAGAGAUCCAAUAAUCAUCAAAGACUCUUUUCCUAGGCGGGCCCCCCAGGCAUUAAGUUCAGACAGCAUCUUUGCAAACUCAUGUUUUAUCUUAAUAAUCUAAAAGCCAAUUCCUUCAAAUUAUCUAUCAGAGGAAAGCCCCCCCCUAAGGGGGUCACCUUACUGUAACUUUUAAAAUCCAAACUGAUUAAUUUCUCAAAUAAAUAAUUUAAAUCUUAGACACGAAACCAUUUGGAAAAGAAUUCUCACUUGAAGUCAUUUCAUUCUAUACUUUUCGACACCAAUGGACUUCAUGAA